rnacentral:lncRNA from 1 species
CAGAGCUCUUCUUCCCCAUCACGCCCUCCCUGGAGUGGCUCUGGCAGAGCAGGAAGCAGGUGGUGAAUGUGUCAACAGCAACUAGAAGCGACUUGGGCUAAAGGAGUCCAGAUCUCUCGAGGCCGAUGGUCAGUGCUGUCUGGUCAGCAAAGGGGAAGCUGCACUCUGCCAGGAGAAGACAGAGAAGAAAGAAGCAGCCAAAAACACGCUGCGGUGCCUUGUCCCUGCUGGCCUCAGCUUUGAAAGGAUGAUGAUGUGCUGAUGCUAGAAACAGUGAUUCAAGGCUAGAAGAACAAGAGCAGGAAAUGGAACCAGGAUGGUGGUACCAGAAAAUCGGGCUGUGCCCAAACGUGUCUCUGAGCUGCUCCUUCACCAAGAGACCCACAGGAUCACUGGCUUUUGGGUUUGGACAGGCUAGGUGUUGGCAAGAACAGGUGGAGCAUUGCUGAUUGAACAACCUUCCUAAAGAUUAUGCCCAGUGGGUAGGUCCUCGCCUCGAGCUCCUCUCUUCCUAGGUCCUGAAGCGCUGCCAUACCCCCGUUUGUUUUAGUUCCCUGAGUACUCUCUUAUUCCUCUCACUUCCGGUGACUCUGGGCCUUCCUUCCUGUUGUUCCUUCUGCCUGGAAUGCUCUUCCCCACACUCAUUUCCUAGCUGACUCCUCGCGCCUCCAGACUCAGCUGAAACUUCACUCCUCCAGGGAGGCUCCCACUGCCUGCACGUCCUCCUUCCUCCCGUGUUCAGAUUCAGCACCCUGCCAAGGGUUUGUUCCAUGGCCAUCCAACUCAACCAUUUUGGAACAUGAGGCAACCACGAGGAUGGAAGCUGUGUGCAAAGGAUGGUGAGGGAGAAAGAUACAAGGGGCUGAGGAUAUUGAGGACAUUGCAGAACCACCAUACGUGGACUCCUACUUCCUGACUUAUGUGAAAAAUAAACCUUUACCUUGUU